AAGUCGUAACAAGGUCUCUGUUAAUAAACUAGCGGAAAGAUCAUUGCCGAGCUGGUUUAAACCGUUCCUAAACUAUCGCGAACCUAUUAGCUAUAUACUUUGGCAGGCGGCUCCAAGGCAGAGCUAUCCGGGACUUGCCGGCAGUACUAUAGCCGAAACUAUGUAGCGCGCUUGAGCCCUUCAGAGUCCCCCCUUGCAGCAAGCAAGAAACUAGUCAAAACUUUUAGCAAUAGAUCUUUUGGCUCUG
rnacentral:misc_RNA from 1 species